GGUACAACUCUCGGCAAUGGAUAUCUCGGCUCUCGCAUCGAUGAAGAAUGUAGCAAAAUGCGAUACAUGGUGCGAAUUGCAGAAUCCCGCGAACCAUCGAGUCUUCAAACGCAAGUUACGCCUGAGGCCAUCCGGUCAAAGGAAUGCCUGCCUGGGCACCAACC
rnacentral:rRNA from 1 species